AUAGCGGUAGGUUAUAUAAAACUGUACGUUUUCAAAACGUAAGAAACUAGCUAUA
rnacentral:tRNA from 1 species